rnacentral:rRNA from 1 species
CGCAUCUGUGCAUGCAGCAUAUCAAUAAGCGGAGGAAAAGAAACUAACAAGGAUUCCCUCAGUAACGGCGAGUGAAGCGGGAAGAGCUCAAAUUUGAAAUCUUGAAAGGUCACCUUUCACGAAUUGUAGUUUAAAGAAGUGUUUUCUGUUACGAUCGUAAUAUAAGUUCUUUGGAAUAGGACAUCACAGAGGGUGAGAAUCCCGUCUAUGAUUGCGAUUUGUAGCUUUGUGAUACACUUUCAAAGAGUCGGGUUGUUUGGGAAUGCAGCCCAAAACGGGAGGUAAAUUUCUUCUAAGGCUAAAUAUUGGCGAGAGACCGAUAGCGAACAAGUACCGUGAGGGAAAGAUGAAAAGAACUUUGAAAAGAGAGUUAAACAGUACGUGAAAUUGUCAAAAGGGAAGCGUUUGACACCAGUGUUGUUUUCUCGAAAAUCAAUUAAAAAUGGCUCGAUUUUGUAUUGCUUGAGACCUUAAAAGCUCACUGUACAUUUUUCGUGUCUUUUUUAAUGCACUUUUCGUUUAACAAGUCAACAUCAGUUCCUUUUGUUGUAAAAGGGUCAUUGGAAGGUGGCUUUCUUUUCGGAGAAAGUGUUUAUAGCCUUUGGCCUCUGCAAUCGGAGAGACUGAGGUCUGCAGCGUAGACUCUUCGGGGUUAGAUACAUUUGUGCUAAGUUAUAGCUUUUUAUAGACAACUUGUUGACUAUAAUUAGUCUUGUAGCUUACUCGCUUAUGCUAUUUUACCUACGCUUAGGAUGUUGACGAUCAGCUGAGCGCG